rnacentral:rRNA from 1 species
GACGAACGCUGGCGGCGUGCUUAACACAUGCAAGUCGAACGGAAAGGCCCUGCUUUUGUGGGGUGCUCGAGUGGCGAACGGGUGAGUAACACGUGAGUAACCUGCCCUUGACUUUGGGAUAACUUCAGGAAACUGGGGCUAAUACCGGAUAGGAGCUCCUGCUGCAUGGUGGGGGUUGGAAAGUUUCGGCGGUUUGGGAUGGUCUCGCGGGUUAUCAGCUUUUUGGUGGGGUAGUGGCUUACCAAGGCUUUGACGGGUAGCCGGCCUGAGAGGGUGACCGGCCACAUUGGGACUGAGAUACGGCCCAGACGCCUACGGGACGCAGCAGGCGGGAAUAUUGCACAAUGGGCGGAAGUCUGAGGCAGCAACGCCGCGUGCGGGAUGACGGCCUUCGGGUUGUAAACCGCUUUCGCCUGUGACGAAGCGUGAGUGACGGUAAUGGGUAAAGAAGCACCGGCUAACUACGUG